rnacentral:rRNA from 1 species
GACGAACGCUGGCGGCGUGCUUAACACAUGCAAGUCGAACGGAAAGGCCCUGCUUUUGCGGGGUGCCCGAGUGGCGAACGGGUGAGUAACCCGUGAGUAACCUGCCCUUGACUUUGGGAUAACUUCAGGCAACUGGGGCUAAUACCGGCUAGGAGCUCCUGCUGCUUGGUGGGGGUUGGAAAGUUUCGGCGGUUGGGGAUGGACUCGCGGCUUAUCAGCUUGUUGGUGGGGUAGUGGCUUACCAAGGCUUUGACGGGUAGCCGGCCUGAGAGGGUGACCGGCCACAUUGGGACUGAGGUACGGCCCAGACUCCUACGGGAGGCAGCGGUGGGGAGUAUUGCACAAUGGGCGGAAGCCUGAUGCAGCGACGCCGCGUGCGGGAUGACGGCCUUGGGGUUGUAAACCGCUUUAGCCUGUGACGAAGCGUUAGUGACGGUAAUGGGUGAAGAAGCACCGGCUAACUACGUG